UCCGGUGCGGAAGUCUGGUCUCCUCGCUUGGAGCGAGCGGUCUGCGCUUGGGAAGGCGAGGCUCGAGGCCGGCCGGCGGAGCUCUCAGGGACGCAGGGAGGCCAGGUUGGCAGCAGCCACUCUCUCUGCGGCUGCACCUGGGAGAUUGAAAGCAGAAGGCUGGCUCAAACCCUCCAAGACAGGGGUGAAUCCAGGCAAAGACUGGCCACAGACCACCCUAGCCUUACCAGGGAGUUUGCUGUCUUCUUAUACCCCUGAGAUCUCUGCUCCUCUCCAGAUUUUCUCAACUCCUUCAGACGCUCCAGCUGCUUCUGAAUUUGUUCCUGGAAAAGAAGAGCACUUGUCAAAGCUUGAACUUGGCUCCUGCCAUCUUGGUGCCAACUCUAGAUGGGAAAACUUGCUUCAGGGAAUAAAGCUGAGGGUGAGGCAGCCAAGAGCACAGGAAGAGGUACCCAGGAAAGAGGAAGAAUGAAUCCAUCACACCAAAGGAAGCAGAGCCAAGAGGAAGUGAGAAAGAUUUCUAAUGACCUCUUGUGAGCACAUGGAUUCAGCCAUACCUAAAGCUAGACUCCCAUAGACCUCUGAGCUACAUGAACCAGUAAAUCCCUCUUUGCUGGCUUACUUUGUAUUGUGUUUGCCAUUUACAGCCCAAAGAUGCUGGCCAAUGCACCAACUCCCAGGGUUUUGGGGGAAAUGAAGCAAGCCCCGAUGUGUUCAAGUGCCCAGCAGAGAAGGACCCCAAUGCAGGAAGCCCUACUUUGUAUUCCAGGGCGGCCUCCUCGAUGGGGCGAACCCGGUGGCCCUGGUGCUCCUGACUCAGCCCGCAGAUGAGGCAGAUAGGUUCCCCGUGGUCCUCGCAGAAGAGCAGCUGGACCUGCUUCAUGUGACGCUCACACUGUGGCAGAGAUUUGGGGCUCAGGCUGGCCAUCUGCAGGCCCUCCUGCCACUCGAGGCUUCCAUGGCUCUUCCCCGGGAGCAAGUCCUGGCACCGAGGGCAGCUGGAUGAGUGGCCGCGUGAAGCCUCAGGAUCCCUAGAAGCAACGGAGCAGCUGCAGGAAACAUGCACGCAGCUGCCACCAACCAGGUCUCCUUCCUGGGCACAGCAAAGAGGACACACAGCCUUGUCCUGCAGUCUCCCUGGGGACAUAGCAGUGGAAAAAUCUCAUGAGUGACAAACCCAAGAUGUUACCAAGGAAUGCUGCAAAUCACAGCUUAGCGAGAGUCCUUGCCUGGGAUAUGUACAUUCUCGGUUAGACUGAGGCCCCUCCCUAGCUUGUCCUCCCCCGACUUCCCUCCAGCGAAGCAGCAAAGGAGCCACUGGGACUGAGGGCUAAGGGCUAGAUCUCAUACCAGUCCUGAGGAUUGGAAUUCUUGGGCAUUUAUCCUAAAGAAAGGCCUUUUGCUACAAAUUCUAUGCCUUCCUCCUGCACGUACACUGAUACAGGUGAUAUAAAGACAGUAAGACAUUCUGACUGGUGUUUGCCACUUAACCACCACCUAGAGUGCUCAUAACUUGAGUAGAGCUCCCAAGGGAUGGUGACUCGCUCAUGGCCAGACCCCCAGCCCCUAGCAGAAUCCCUGGCAUGUGGUGAGCAUUUGGGAAGUGCAUGUUGAAUGAAGGAAUGAAUGGGCCACUGCUCAUAUCCAGAUUCAGGAAGCAUGAAGUGAAAGUAAAGAAGGGGACUUUACAAGGCUGAAGGGUAUAGCCCACCGUGAUGACCUACAGCUAUGACCAGCUCUGCCCCAAGACCAUAGCACAGCUUCAUAAAGCAGAAAUGACAGGAGAUACAGGAGGAAUAGAAAUGCACUCAAUUCAUGAGUCCCCUCCUGCCUCGUCCUCUCGCAGGGUCCCAGGAAUUCAUAUCACAUCUUCAAGUGAGACUGCGAGCUCCCCAGUGACCGUUUUCCCCUCCUUCCGUUGUGAUAGCAUUGAUUGCUGUCCAUAUGGCUGCUCCCCGCCACCACCCAAAAAAACCCUACAUUUCUUAGCCUCCCUUGCAGUUAGAUGUGGUCAUGUGACUCCAGACACACCUCACUUCAUUGCACUUCACUUUAUUGCCCUUCACAGACUCUUCAUUUUUAGCAAAAUGAAGGUUUGUGGCAACUCUGUGUUGCCAGAUGAUGGUGAACAUUUUUUAGCAAUAAAGGUUUUUUUUGCAAUAAAGUAUAUUUAAAUUAAGGUAGGUACAUUUUUCUUUUUAGACAUAAUGCUAUUGCACACUUAAUUUAGAUGAUAGUAUAGUAUAAACAUAUGCACCGGGAAGCCAGAAAAUUCAUGUGACUUGCUUUACUGCAAUAUUUGCUUUAUUGCAGUGGUCUGGAACCAAACCCAUGACGUGCCUGUACAUUCUGGCCAAGAGGAAGUAAAUGGAGGCAUCACUAGCAGCAUCUAGAAAUUUCCGAAAACCUUCCCUAAGUGAUACUAUCCUCUUUUGUCCCUCCAUCCUGCUGCCUGGAAUGAGGAUGCCACCAGCUGAGACCACGAGCUUGAGAGCAAACUCCGUAGAGCAGAAAAGCAGCAGGAGCUUGGGUUCCUGACCAUGGUGUACCACAUUUGUCCUGGACCACCUGUGUGUCAUUUACAUGAAAGAGGAACAAACGUCUAUCUUGUUUCAGUUAUGUUAUUUUGGCAUUUCUGUCAUUCACAACCCAUCACCAUCCUAAUUUCUGCCUCUUUAGUAAAAGAGACCUAGGACUUUAGUCAACAGCUCCCUCCCUGCCCAGAGAGAGGCGAAUAGCAGAAUCGCAGCCCCAUGACAUACUGCCAUGAGGUAUUGUGAGAAGGUGAUAUUUCUACCAAAUCUUUCUCAGAUGUUCAACCUGGGGUCCAUGAAGCCCUUGGGAAUUCUAAAGAAGGACUUCAGAGUGUCUAAGAACUAACUAACUGAAAUGUAUGCAACAUUUUAUGAAAAUGUGCAGAUAUGCAUUUUUCAGGAUUCAGAGCCUACAUCAGAUUCUCAAAGGGUGGAGGACCUCAAGGGGGACCCAGAGAUCCAGUGAAAUGAAUACAGUGGGGAUAAAAGCAAAUUUGCAGGGGGAAACCUGCAAAGGUUAUCAUUCCUAAGGAUGCCAGGUCUUCUAGAUUCUGAGGUCCUUUCUUACCUGAAGAUGGAGGGACUUCUGGAUUUGAAGAAUCAUGGAGCACACCACCUACCACCUCCUCCAAGGUCUUAGAGGUCUUUGGAGCCUCAGUUCCACUCUUCUCUGCAGGUACUGUGGACUCUGGAUGCUCCCAGAUCUUCUUUCCAGCCAAUGAUACACUGGAAAGUGUAUUCCUGAGUGCUCCCCCCUCCAGAGUCAUGGUGUGUUCUGGAUUCCUGGAUCCUUCCUCUGCAGCCACAGUAGCCCCUGUGUUCAGAGUGGCUGCUGAGCCUGGAUUCUCACUUCUCAUUUUCUCUUGAAGCAGAAGAGUUUCUGGGUUGAGAGGUUCUGUCUCUCCUGGAGAAAUGGUAAAUUCAAGACUUUUGGGUCGCUUCUUUCCUGAAGAUUCAGAGGCCUUUCCAGCUGGGAGGACUCAAUGCCUUGUCAGACACGUGGUCGUCAGCACCCCAGCUCUCACUGACUUGGGCUGGACUGCACAGUGGUGGAUGAGUCUUUGAGGAAGGGUCUGGGAUUGGAUUCCAGAUUCUGGAACUUUGGGCAGGCAGUCUGAUGCUUCCCUCUCCCCUCCCAGGAUACGGGGGUGGGAGUGGUGGGAACAGAGCCCCUGGUCCCAUGCUGGAUAGAACCAUGAUGAGGGUCAGCCCCUCUGGCCAACUGCUCUCCUCCAGACUCUUGGGGUUUUAUUGACCCUCUGGAGCCAAUCACGGGGUGGGGAGCAGCAAAUACAGCCCUGCAAGCUCUGCCCCUCCCUGCUCAAGAAGGCAGGUGAGGCCAGAAGGGCACCACCAGGAGACAAGUCCUGGGGUCGCCCCUGUUGACGUAGUUCCAGUUGUCUGGUUCUUCCAGCAACACGAAGGCCUCGAAACGCCACGCCUGGGACCACCAUCCUGAUUUAUUUGUUCCAGCGCUAACUCUGCCGUUCCUUCCUGGGAGCAGACUCCGGAGGGAGGGUGUCAUGCAUGCAUGUGUACUGACCACAUGUUCUGGACCAGGAUGCUGGAGAAACAAGGGUGAAAAAGGCAUAGGCGUUCUUAGGGCUUGCAGCCCAGUGUGGGGCCCCAGCGGUGGCUCCAAAGCUAAUGGAGUUUGUAUGGGGGGAGCUGACUGCUUCCUCCAUUAACGGCUGUGUCUUUCUGCUACAUUGAUUUUUAUCCUCAACUUUUUGGUUCAAAAAAUUUCAGGGCUUCCCUGGUGGCGCAGUGGUUGGGAGUCCGCCUGCCGAUGCAGGGGACGCGGGUUUGUGCCCCGGUCUGGGAGGAUCCCACAUGCCACGGAGCGGCUGGGCCUGUGAGCCAUGGCCGCUGAGCCUGCGCGCCCGGAGCCUGUGCUCCGCAGUGGGAGGGGCCGCAACGGUGAGAGGCCCGCAUACCGCAAAAAAAAAAAAAAAAUCAAAUCCACAGAAAAUUUGAGAGCAUAGUACAAUGAACACUUAUAUACCCUUUACGUAGGUUCAGCAACCGUUUACAUUUCAUGUUUGGUGAUUCUCUUUCACACAUGCACACACUUUUUUGUUUUUUUGAAGCAUUUCGUAAUAAAUUGAAAACAUAUCAGAUAUCACUUCAAAUACCCUAGCUAUCCUAAAUACUAAGAAUGAGGAUACAAGGAUGUUAUUUUAUUAUUUAUUUAAAUUUUAUUUAUUUAUUUAUUUUUGGCUGCCCCCACACAGCUUGUCAGAUCUUAACUUCCUGACCAGGAAUUGAACCCGGGCCCUCUGCAGUGAAAGCACCGAGUCCUAACCACUGGACCGCCAGGGAAUUCCCAAGGAUAUUAUUUUAAAUAAUCACAGUAGUAUUAUCACACUCAGGAAAUUUAAUGUUGCUACAAUACUACAAGCUUUCCAUAAUCAAAUUCCCCAAUUGUUCUGAUAAUGUCUUUGAUAGCUUUUAUUUGGUCCCAAUCCAGGAUCCAAUCAGAGAUCCUGCAUUGCCUUUAGUUGCCAUAUCUCUGUAGUCUCCUUUUAUCUAGAACACUUUUACAUUCCCCUCAUCUUUAAAAAUUCUUUCAAGACAUUAAUGUUUUUGAGGGCUUCCCUGGUGGCGUAGUGGUUAAGAAUCCUCCUGCCAAUGCAGGGGACACGGGUUUGAGCCCUGGCCCGGGAAAAUUCCACAUGCCGCGGAGCAACUAAGCCCGUGAGCCCCAACUACUGAGCCUGCGCUCUAGAGCCUGAGAGCCACAACUACUGAAGCCCGGGCGCCUAGAGCCCCGUACUCUGCAGCAAGGGAAGCCCGCGCACCUCGACGAACAGUAGCCCCCUGCUCGCUGCAACUAGAGAAAGCGCGCGUGCGGCAACGAAGACCCAACGCAGCCAAAAAUAAAUAAAUAAAUAAAUAAAUAAAAUAUAAAAAAUAAAAAAUAAAGUGGGGACAGUGGGUGAGGUCUCAGACCUGGAGGCUUGCUUCGUCAAGCCCUCUUAUUAAAAAAAAAAAAAAAGACAUUAAUGUUUUUGAAAAGUCCGUUCCAAGCACCGUGU